AGAAAAUGUGAAAGAAUUUCGUGUUUCAAACCUUGUUUUUGAUAAAAUGAUCUCACCUUUUAAAACACCAACACAUGAAAAAUUCUUAAGCCAAAAAGUUUGAUGUUUGAUGAGUUUCGUGAAUUUAGCUCAUCUUUGAGAGUGUCUUUGUGUAGCAUUACGUUUGAGUUUCUUAGUACUAAAACUGAAUGUGUUUCAUUUCAAACUUGCCAUGAUUUGAAAUACUUGCUUAAAGACGUGUUGUGUGGCUCAAUUACACCAACGAAACCUUGUAAAUCGAACUUGAAUGAUCAUGUGUUACAAAGGUUGAUUCGUUCACUAGCAAAGGGUUGCUUGUUCUAAAAGUUGUUAAGGGUUUUUGGUGUUGUAAUCACAUUCUUAUUUGUGACAAAGAGUUUGAAUAUCUUAAGAGAUUGUUUAUCUAUUCCUAUUGCACAUUUGAUGUGGUUUCUCUAGUUCUUGUGAAAGCAAAUGUAAGGCAGGUUAAGGAUUCAAAGUCAAGGAUAAUGAA
rnacentral:lncRNA from 1 species